UAGCUACAUUGAAAAAUCUCCUUCUGCUCCUUAUUGUUACUUGUUUGCUUAACUUAUCAUUUGUUUGUUUUUUUGGAAGGUGAGGAAACUUGGGUUAUUACAGCUGUCAAGGCUGAGGCUCUGGCCCCAAUGACUCCAGGAACAACACUACUGAAAAACCAAAUCUCCUUCCUGCUAAACAAAAUAAACACCACUGAGGUCAUUUUCUUUUUUCCCACUGAGUCUAAUGCAAUCAAGUCAAGAGGGUGUGAGCUUGGAAGAUGAAGGCUGACAGCUGAAGGCUGAAGGAUUCUGUCAAGACAACGACCAUGAUACCGGCUCACCAAAAAAACGAGGCUGCUAGUGUCUACCUCUUCGGGAGAGAUGGUCCACUCUUGCCCUACUGGGGAUUCCUAUCCCAGGAGCCAGAAAUUGAGGCCAUCAAAAUAGAUAAGGUAGUGGAGACAUCCAUCAUAGUCCGCUGCUAUACCACUGGCUUUCACAUGCAAAAUCCAACUGUGAGAGGAAAAACACACACAAAAAUGAAUAUUCCAUAGAACCACACAUUUAUUUUGAAUCUGAGGUUUUUUUCUUUCAUUUUCCUUUUUCUUCACUUCCAACUUUCUUUGGCUUUUUGAAAUAUCCACAAAUGAUUCCCAAAUAUGCCUCUAUAAGCCAACCAAGGACUUUCUUUGCUUUGCUUCCUGAUACAGCCCAUAACAUUCUAAAACUCAUGAUGUUAAAAAGAAUCUUUUGGGCCUAGAGACAGCCUGGUGGUUAAGAGGACUAUCUGUUCUUCCAGAGGACCUGGGCUCAAUUCCCAGAACCCACAUGGCGGCCACAACUGUCUGUAACUCCAGAGGAUCCAAUAUCCUCAUAAAGACAUUUAUAAAAAUGAAUAAAUCAUUAGAAAUAAAAUAAUAAAAAAUAAUC
rnacentral:lncRNA from 1 species